rnacentral:rRNA from 1 species
GACGAAGGAUGCAAGCGUUAUCCGGAUUCAUUGGGUUUAAAGGGAGCGUAGGCGGCCUUGUAAGUCAGUGGUGAAAUCUCUGGGCUUAACCCAGAAAUUGCCAUUGAUACUGCAGGGCUUGAGUACAGUUGCCGUUGGCGGAAUAUGACAUGUAGUGGUGAAAUACAUAGAGAUGUCAUAGAACACCGAUUGCGAAGGCAGCUAACGAAACUGUAACUGACGCUGAGGCUCGAAAGUGUGGGGAUCAAACAGG